UGGGGAAUAUUGCACAAUGGGCGCAAGCCUGAUGCAGCCAUGCCGCGUGUAUGAAGAAGGCCUCGGGUUGUAAAGUACUUUCAGCGGGGAGGAAGGCGAUAAGGUUAAUAACCUUGUCGAUUGACGUUACCCGCAGAAGAAGCACCGGCUAACUCCGUGCCAGCAGCCGCGGUAAUACGGAGGGUGCAAGCGUUAAUCGGAAUUACUGGGCGUAAAGCGCACGCAGGCGGUCUGUCAAGUCGGAUGUGAAAUCCCCGGGCUCAACCUGGGAACUGCAUUCGAAACUGGCAGGCUAGAGUCUUGUAGAGGGGGGUAGAAUUCCAGGUGUAGCGGUGAAAUGCGUAGAGAUCUGGAGGAAUACCGGUGGCGAAGGCGGCCCCCUGGACAAAGACUGACGCUCAGGUGCGAAAGCGUGGGGAGCAAACA
rnacentral:rRNA from 1 species